AACGAACGCUGGCGGCAGGCCUAACACAUGCAAGUCGAGCGGACAUCUUCGGAUGUUAGCGGCGGACAGGUGAGUAACGCGUGGGAACGUGCCCUUUGCUUCGGAAUAGCCUCGGGAAACUGGGAGUAAUACCGGAUGUACCCUUUGGGGGAAAGAUUUAUCGGCAAAGGAUCGGCCCGCGUUGGAUUAGGUAGUUGGUGGGGUAAUGGCCUACCAAGCCGACGAUCCAUAGCUGGUUUGAGAGGAUGAUCAGCCACACUGGGACUGAGACACGGCCCAGACUCCUACGGGAGGCAGCAGUGGGGAAUCUUAGACAAUGGGGGAAACCCUGAUCUAGCCAUGCCGCGUGAGCGAUGAAGGCCUUAGGGUUGUAAAGCUCUUUCACCGGGGAAGAUAAUGACGGUACCCGGAGAAGAAGCCCCGGCUAACUCCGUG
rnacentral:rRNA from 1 species